AUGUCCAGGAGAUCUGAAUGGGCUUUCCUUCUGAACAGCCGCAAAGUCUUCAGGUGCCUGCAGAAGAUGGUGUUACUAUUAGUUUGACACCUGAGGACUUUGCGGCUGUUCAGAAGGAAAGCCCACUCAGAUCUCCUGGACAU